UCUUCUUUCUUUUAGGAAAAGUUGCAUCUUUUGUUGCCUUCAGGUCUGGAGUAUUAUUUCCAUAAAUUACAAGAUUGGCUAUAGCUUUAACUGUUAGGUCCAGAUAGGGCUGGCAAAAUGGUAAAAAUAAAAAACAAGUAACCAUCUAAUCCGACCCAUUAGACAUCUGACUUUUUAAGAAUGGAUCAAAUAUGGAUUGGAUAUCCAUAUUAUCAAUUCUCAUUUGUCUGCUUGUUAUUUUUCAUGAGUUCUUGCUUUCUCAAAGUCUAACCUUAUCUUGGCUUUUAACUUAUGUUCUCACCUGACUAUUCGUGAAAUGAUGGAUAAUAUCCAUAUUAUCCGUCGGUGAACCCAUUUUUUAUCCGUGUUAAGUAUGGGUGGGUCAGAUAUUUUAUCCGUUUUUAAGCCAGUUUUCAAUCCGCCCAUACCCUAUCCGACCCAACCGUUUGCGACUCCUAGGUCCAGACAGGUUUUGUUAUAGCUGUAGACAUAAUUGAUCCAACUUGACUGAUAUACUGAUAGCAAUCAAGGGAUAUAAAUGUCCUUAAAUGGCAUAUCAUUUUCUUGGGGUUUCUAUCUUCGUCAGGUUAUCUACUCUGUUGACAAGAUAUUGAAUUGAAGCAAACCUGAUUUCUGUACAAGUUCUUUCAAGUCCCUAAAUCGGUUGGACUGCAUGUACUAACCAGUUAUAUCAUUUACUUCUGGACAUUUUCAUUGCACGUUAACCUCAUCUAGAUAUCUGUUAGUUUAAAAAGCUGAAUAACACUUUUGGUCCCUUGGUUAUGUGUCUCUGAUUUUGGUCCUCGCGAUAUAUGACUCAACACAUUUAACCUUCAUUUAAUUAAAAUGUGUGCUUUUGAUCCUUUUAUGUAGGAAACACGUUAUAUUUAGACUAUUUUUAUAAGUCUAUUACCCUCAAACAUGGAGUAAUAAUACAAGUUUAAUAUAACACAUGGGUAAUUAAACGGCGAAAUGGUUAAUAAUUCUGAGAAUUUGUGAAUUUUCAUAAGCAAAUGGCAAAAGUGCACUUUUUGAAAUGUGCUUAAUCUGAUAUCACAAGGACUAAGAUUAGAAUUUACCUAUAACUGGGGACUAAAAGAGCCAUUAACCUUUCUAAUUUCAUUCGUUGGUCAGUGGUUUAGAUCCUAUAUAUUAAAUUCUUAAAACGAGUGUACUCGAGUUACUUUGGGGAUCAUUUGCCUAGGUUUUCUUUUUCCGAUAGGUAUCAUUUGCUCGUGUUUUAAAUUAAUCAAGUGGAUGUUUGAACUGGUUUAUAUUCGUCUUCUGUGUUGGACCUAUAUGAAGCUGUUUCUUUGCUGACUUUGACUCAUUUUGCUGACCUAUUUUUCUUUUUAGUCAUUUGCAAAUCAUUGACCUCUUUAAAUGUAGUGGGAAAUUUUUACUUGGUGAAGUUAAUAGUUGUAAUGGAAAUAUUUACUUUAUCGAAAAUAUUAGUUUCAAUUGUAUGUGACAUCUUAAAAACCUUCUGGCUGUUCGGCUAUUAAUUUGAUAUAUCUAACGAACUCUUAUAAGAUCCAUAGAUAAUGCUUAUAGUAACCCAUCCAACUUGUAUUUUCAACGUCUGCAUAAGUCAAAUUCAUCUAGUUGAUAUAAGAUGGAAGAAGUACUUAAAUAACCAGAUCUGAGGUAAGUGUUGCCUUCCCCUCCCCUUGGAUAAAGGAAAAAAAAAUGUUGAAAUCCAAACAAGGGAAAAUAGAUAAAGAUGGUCUUUUGGACCACCGAAAGAAGUUGUUACUGUCGAACUAAAUCACUACAAUUCAGUAAUACUUGUGUGGCCCUUCGUCCCCCGUCUAUUUAUAUGUUUCUCCAAAUUUGACAGAGAAUGUUAUACAUAUUCCGAAAUUAGCUUUAAUACGCCUCAUAUAAGUUUCUGGCAUUAAAAGAUGCUGGAAACUUCCAAACUUACCCUUGAUGUCAUUAUACAGUAUCUUAAUUAUCCGGGCCUACAUAAUUUACUUUUUCUUUGGAUCUCUCUGCUCGAAAAUUGAGUUUGUUUGCUUAAAGUUAUGAUUCUUUCAAUUGGAAUGUAUCCAAAAAAAUUGUUCUUAUUAAUGGAUAUUAGAAUUUGAUGUUUAACUUAUUCCUAUUGCUGAUAAAAAUAAUACUAACUUCAAAAUAUAAGAUUAAUUCCUUUGAACUCUGUAAAGUUGAUGUCUUCUUUGAAAAGGAGAAAAAAAAAAGUAUUUAACUUAAGAUUAGGUAAGAUUUCUAAGGAUAGCACAAACAUCAAUCAGAAUGCUAACAUCAAGUGUUCAUGCUUCUUCAUGUGUUUGAAACUGUUUUUAUUUGAACCAAAAAAUGAAGUAAUGCUCGAAUCAGAAAUUUCUGCCCAUCCAAACAGCAUUGGUGUUUAGAACUCUUUGUUUCCUACUUGUAGAUCUACUGAAGAACUUUGAAAUUCUCCAGGUAAUAA